GGGAGGUGACGUCAAGUCAUCAUGGCCUUACGGCCUGGGCUACACACGUGCUACAAUGGUCGGUACAAAGGGUUGCCAAGCCGCGAGGUGGAGCUAAUCCCAUAAACCGAUCGUAGUCCGGAUCGCAGUCUGCAACUCGACUGCGUGAAGUCGGAAUCGCUAGUAAUCGUGAAUCAGAAUGUCACGGUGAAUACGUUCCCGGGCCUU
rnacentral:rRNA from 1 species